rnacentral:lncRNA from 1 species
AUAAAAUCAAACAUAUCUGGUGGUUUUAGAGCAACUUUUUCUCAGUCACUAAUUUAAAACAAAUCCGAAUGAAUUUAAUGGUGUUUCACUUUUUUAAUGUCAUGAAGCUAAAUUGUUCUUAGCCCUGGAUUAAAGUAAAAUGAUAAAUGACUUCUGAAUCUUGGCCAAGUAACAUGAAAUGGUUACUGCAAAAUUGUUCUGCAAAAUUUUACAAGGUGUUAUAUUACUAAUUUUUUGUAUUUUUAGUAGAGAUGGGGUUUCACCGUGUUAGUCAGGAUGGUCUCUAACUCCUGACCUCAUAAUCUGCCUGCCUCGGCCUCCCAAAGUGCUAGAGUUACAAGCGUGAGCCACUGCACCUGGCCAAAAAUAUUUUAAAAUAUAUAUUUGUGUGUAUAUUUAUGGGAUACAUGAGAUGUCGAUACAGAUGUGCAAUAUAUAAUUAUAUCAUG